GAGACCUGCUUCCCUGUGGAGAAAGGUGAGGGAAAUAUUUCUUUCCUGUAUGAUGGUGGGCCAAGGCUUCCCAUCCUGUGAAAAAAAGCAACCCCCAGCUGUGGGCAGUGGUUUUCCAGCCCUGAGUUCAGAUUGCAUUUUAUGAUCAGAGUUAACAGUUACACCUUAGCUAUUUGGUUGACCUUCUUCUCAAGCUUCUUCCUCAAGCUUUUAUUCCCCUGCAAGUCAUCUCUUCAUAUCCCACAUGGCAGUCACUGCCCUUUGGGUUGAUCCAUUCAUCAAAGCUCAUCACCAGCCUGCUGCAGAGACCUCCCAGCUCUGCAGGACCUCCUGCCCUGCUCUGCCACAAAGACUGAGAACUGUCUAUAGGCAGCUAACAAACCUUCCUGGAUCUCCUGGGAGAGCCCUGCUGGAUGCCAUACUCAUUUGUGGGAACAAAUCAGGGGAAAAUGCUGGUCCAGAACAGCACCCUUUCCAUCUGGGCUUGGGGGUUUGUGUCUUAGUUCAACCUCCUUCAGAUUGGGCUGAAGGAUCAGGGGAGUUUACCUUACCCUGCAGCCACUUCCAGUUUCCCUAUUACUAAAUUCAGCUCUUCCCUGGAGUCCAACAACCUCUCUUUUCAUAUAUUGCAUUUCUCUCUCCACCACUGGAAAGAGCUCUUUUUUGGCCAUUGCGGCCAAAUGCUCAAUAUAAGAUUCAAUGUAAGAUGCAAGGUUCUAUCACUAUUUUCUGCUGAGGAAGACCUCUGCAACACUCACUCUCUUCCCCACUUGCCUCUUGCUUCAUUUGUAAGAAAUUGUCCUUGAGUGUGCUGAAAAUUAAUUCCUCUAUGUGUGGGGGUUUUAUCCUCACUGGGGCUCUGUCACUUAAUGAAGAGUUGAGUCAA